rnacentral:tRNA from 1 species
GAAGCUAUAGUCAACAAUGAUUCCUGAUUUGCAAUUAGGAGGUGCUCUAUUGAGCUGGCUUCA